rnacentral:rRNA from 1 species
UCCAGACUCCUACGGGAGGCAGCAGUAGGGAAUAUUGCUCAAUGGGGGAAACCCUGAACCAGCAACGCCGCGUGGAGGAUGAAGGUUUUCUGAUUGUAAACUCCUUUUGUUAGAGAAGAUAAUGACGGUAUCUAACGAAUAUGCACCGGCUAACUCCGUGCCAGCAGCCGCGGUAAUGCGGAGGGUGCAAGCGUUACUCGGAAUUACUGGGCGUAAAGAGCGAGUAAGCGGGAUAGCAAGUCAGAUGUGAAAUCCGAUGGGUUAACCAUAGAACUGCAGUUGAAACUGGUAUUCUUGAGUAUGGGAGAAGUAGGUGGAAUUCGUGGUGUAGGGGUAAAAUGCGUAGAUAUCAAGAGGAAUUCCGAUUGCGAAGGCGGCCUGCUAGAACCUAACUGACGCUGAAGCGCGAAAGCGUGGGGAGCAAACAGGAUUAGAUACCCGUGUAU